CCUACGGGGGACAGCAGUGAGGAAUAUUGGUCAAUGGGCGAGAGCCUGAACCCUCCAAGUCGCGUGAAGGAUGACGGCCCUACGGGUUGUAAACUUCUUUUGUCAGGGAGCAAUUGGGUCCACGCGUGGGCUUAGCGAGAGUACCUGCAGAAAAAGCAUCGGCUAACUCCGUGCCAGCAGCCGCGGUAAUACGGAGGAUGCGAGCGUUAUCCGGAUUUACUGGGUGUAAAGGGAGCGUAGACGGCAGCGCAAGUCUGUAGUGAAAUCCCAUGGCUGAACCAUGGAACUGCUGUGGAAACUGUGCAGCUAGAGUGCAGGAGAGGUAAGCGGAAUUCGUGGUGUAGCGGUGAAAUGCGUAGAUAUUAGGAGGAACACCAGGGGCGAAGGCAGCUUACUGGACUGUAACUGACGUUGAUGCUCGAAAGCGUGGGGAGCAAACAGGAUUAGAUACCCCAGUAGUC
rnacentral:rRNA from 1 species